CCACCUGCUCUCUGACCUGAUGCCGCUCUUGUUGAGUUGGUGCCUGCUACGGCUGAGGCAGAGGGAGAGACUGCUGAGGCAUAGGGGGUGGCUGUGGAGCUCUCGAAGCUCGGUGUUGAGGGGUCGCUCUCCAGAUAAAAUGAUUCAGCUGCCCUUGCCUAACGAGCCUCUCGAUCUCAUCACGAAGCUAAUGGAAGUCUUCAG
rnacentral:lncRNA from 1 species